CCUUUACCCUCUGCCUUCUACGAGCUCCUAUCCAACUUCUUUUGGAAAAUGGCUUCCAAGUCCUUGGCUUCCACAUCCCUCCUCCUCGCUCUCAACCUCCUGUUCUUCACCUUGGUCUCUUCCACAAGUGUCCCCUGCCCACCACCUCCUUCUAAGCCUACGCCCACUCCCUCACCUUCUUCUGGAUCAAAAUGCCCCAUCAACACACUCAAGCUCGGUGUGUGCGCUAAGGUUCUUAACGGCCUGAUCAACGUCUCUCUCGGCAAGCCACCAAAGAAGCCUUGCUGCACCCUUCUUGAGGGCCUUGUGGACCUCGAGGCUGCCGUAUGCCUUUGCACUGCCCUCAAGGCCAGCAUCUUGGGCAUCAAGCUCAACGUCCCUGUCGACCUUAGCUUGCUUCUGAACUACUGCGGCAAGAAGGUCCCAGCAGGCUGGAAGUGC
rnacentral:lncRNA from 1 species